ensembl:lncRNA
CCCACAGUCAGACAGUCAGACGGCUCUGAAGGGCCCGUUUAGAGAAGGGAAUCCUGCUUUGGCCCCUCCCCUCUCUCUUUUCCGGGGCUCUCCUGCAGCGCAUCGAGCUGAGCUCACCUCCUUCUUUUCAAUCUCCUACCACCGAAAUCACGGAAGACCUCGCAACUCUUUUUUUUGUCCCGACCCGGGCUCGCUGUCCACUUGCCUGCUCGUCUCGGUGCGGAUGUAGGCUGCUGGGCUCCGUGUGGAUGAUAGCCUACCCUCAAACUUUGAAAUCCAGACACAUCUGUUGCAAAUUGACGACUACAGACCUGUUGUGAACUGUAUCUCUGGGUGUUUGGUGUCGGGAAACACAGAGACUACUGAAGAGACUACUGAAGACCAGGGGGACCAGGCGGUGCUGCAUCAGGGUCUGAGCGGCACCACAUGCGGAGGAAGAGCGCUUCUGUCCUGUGAAUAUUCCGCUAGUGCGACCACGUUGUGGUUCUUUUCGUCGAGCAGCCUUACGCCAUCAGGGUUCCCGGUGGAAACCAGCAUUCCCCCCCAACCCCCAACCCAAACCCAAACUUCCCUGAUCCUGCUCCAUUUCCUCGCCCUUCGCCUUAAGACAGACUGCUUGUGGAUCCUCUGAACGCUGAACCCUCGAGGUGUAGGCCGAUAUAGGUCUGGAUUGAAUGUCAUUUCGCUGUGAUCAAAGCAGAGGAGGGCUUUGACACACGUACACACGGGAGUGGAUUUUAAACGAGGGUCUCAUCGACAGACUCUGGAGUCCUGCCGUGGAGCAUCUGGUCCUCUCUCCGUUUUCGUCUGCGUCUGGGUUCAGCAGUGACGUGGACUUCCCUUUCCCCUCGGGUCACAUGACUGCAGAUACGGGUGUGGUCCUGCCUGCAUUCCACCCGUACCCCCCCUUCCCCCUCUCCUCUAGGCACACACAGGUACACAGACAAGUAGAGUGAAGUCCUCAUGAAGGAUGGAUUGGAACUGGCUGAAGGAGCUGUAUGGAAUAAGAGGGAAUGGUGUGGUAGGAAACUUUGUGCAUCGGUCCUUUCAUGAGAGAAACUCCACGUGUUUGUGACGGCUGUGCACACAAAUGGAAACCUCUUGUAGUGUGGCAAUGAACGUGGAGUUGUACUUAUCUCUUUAGCUUACUCCCCAUAUCUGUGUUUAGACAUGUAAAAAUCCACUCGGUGUCAACGUGGCUCUCUAAACUAUUGACAUAAACACUGUUUACAAUAGACAAGUUUUGCAAAUGUUGUUUGAAUGUGCUCAGAGGCAACAUGUUCGGCAGCCGUAACAGGAAGUACGCGAUCGCUAACACUGUGCAACACUGCUUACCCUCCCUCUGAGGGUGGGGCGUGUGUGUGUGUGUGUGUGUGUGUGUGUGUGUGUGUGUGUGUGUGUGUGUGUGUGUGUGUGUGUGUGUGUGUGUGUGUGUGUGUGUGUGUGUGUGUGUGUGUGUGUGUACACAGAGCAGGCUUUACUGGGUGAGGACGGUGCAGUGUUCUGAUUUGGUAUGCAAGGCAGGUGUGUCUGCAGAGGCAGGGAGGUGGAGAGUGGGACAGGAAAGAACAUAGAGGAAACGAUAAGAGGGCAGACCUAGUGGGUAGUGGUGACGGAGACAUCAUGACUUCACUCCCUGAUACUUAACCACCAUGCUUAUGUGAGCUCUCUUCUCUGCCCCAAACCUACAUCGAUUCCUCAUGACGUCUGUCGUCUUUUAGGUGCAUUACAUUAGAUGCAUUGCGCUCCAAAUGGGACCAACAGUGAAAUCAACCAUGAAGAUACAACCCAGGCAUUGCAAGAAUCAUGCGAUUUCAUACAAUUCAUCAAAUAAUGAUAAACUGCACGCUACAUUUUAGUGAACGUUUCAAUAUUAUUAAUUCAACGUGUGUGUCUGUGUGUGAAAAUAAUUCCUUUUUCUCAUUCCUCUAAAUCCAUUUUGUACACAGAAGACUUCUUUUUUUUAAAUUGAGCAUCAAAUUAAAUGAUUCAUUAGAAUGUUCCAUUAAUUAACAUUUUCAAAUUUCAAAAUGUCAGACUGAAUGAUGCAAUCAGAUUGAUUCGGUAUAGAAGUACUCAUCAGUUGAGCGUUGCUAUGUUUAAUGCACUGCACAGCCAAUGCACCGCAGUUAAGGAUAGGUGCUUUGAGUAAACACAAUUUUAAGUGGACCAAAUGGUUCCAUGGAUUAUGGAAAGGAGAAGAAAGAAGAACUGAACAUUAUGUGAGGACAAGAUGCAAAUACAUUAUAUGGUGAUACAUGAAAAGAUCUUGAGAAGAACACAUGAUUACAGAUUUUAAUAUUAUUGGUUUCUUGGUGAGAAACCUACAACAUAGAUGAUGCAAUCAAGUAGUAUUAAGCUGCCCUCAGUGACUGGGCACACCAACUUCAUGCAACAUCACCCUCAGCCUGAUUUUGUUUCCAGUCCGACAGAUUGUCCAUCAAAGACCAGUUUCCAAAUUCCAAUACCCUUUUGGUCCAACGGGUUCUGUGUUGAAUUCCACUACCGUACCUCUUUCUGUCUGGUAUUUGAGCGUCUACAUGGGAAAGGCCUACACAGAGACCACAAUACCGGCCCCCAUUAGAUGGAGUUUGAUACAGAAAUGUUGGGGACAUGUGCAACAUCCCGGCAGUGAGAUGGCUCCUCCUUUAAUCUGGAGUCCAUCAAUUCACCUGACUGAGAACACACCCAGACUAGUUCCCCCACAGACGCAAUCAAAUGCUCAACCAAUACAUGCUUCACUUUUUCAUGGUCUUUGAAGCGACUCUUUUUCCCAUUGGAUGCAUAUAUUGGUGUUUAGAGGUUCCGGUAGUACCAUCUCCACUGGUGUAUCGAGGUUCCAGUGGUACCGUCUCCGAACAACUGGUGUAUCGAGGUUCCGGGAGCACCGUCUCCACUGGUGUAUCGAGGUUCCGGUAGUACCGUCUCCGGACCACUGGUGUAUCGAGGUUCCGGUGGUACCGUCUCCGGACCACUGGUGUAUCGAGGUUCCGGUGGUACCGUCUCCGGACCACUGGUGUAUCGAGGUUCCGGUGGUACCGUCUCCGGACCACUGGUGUAUCGAGGUUCCGGUGGUACCGUCUCCGGACCACUGGUGUAUCGAGGUUCCGGUAGUACCGUCUCCGGACCACUGGUGUAUCGAGGUUCCGGUAGUACCGUCUUCCGGACCACUGGUGUAUCGAGGUUCCGGUAGUACCGUCUCCGGACCACUGGUGUAUCGAGGUUCCGGUAGUACCGUCUUCCGGACCACUGGUGUAUCGAGGUUCCGGUAGUACCGUCUCCGGACCACUGGUGUAUCGAGGUUCCGGUAGUACCGUUUCCGGACCACUGCCUCACUGCUGUGAAGGAGGGCACUCCCCCUGCCGCCAGAGGCAGGUUGACUUGGAAUUAUUAAUCGUAACCAUAUUAAAGAGUGCUAUACACAUUUUAUAAACCUUGUUUAUAUUAUUACGAGUCAAUUGAAAAGCCAUUUGUAUGAAUUCUCCUUGGACUAAGAGAUACUCCCUUCCUUUCUGUAAUUGAAAGGUGUUAGGCUAGUUUG